UGGUGCAGUAGGUAGUAUAUCAGUCUAGCAAGCUGAAGGUCCUGAGUUCAAUCCUCAG
rnacentral:tRNA from 1 species